rnacentral:ncRNA from 2 species
CACUUAUCCAGAAAGACGGAGGGAUUAGGCCCUGUGAUGUCUUAGCAACCCAAUUCAGUUGGGUGCUACUUCCUACCCAGUUCGCGUAGCGUGCUGGGGGAGAUGAGUG